GUGCCAGCCGCCGCGGUAAUACGUAGGUGGCAAGCGUUGUCCGGAAUUACUGGGCGUAAAGGGUGCGCAGGCGGACAUUUAAGUGAGAUGUGAAAUACCCGGGCUUAACCCGGGCAGUGCAUUUCAAACUGGGUGUCUGGAGUGCAGGAGAGGAGAACGGAAUUCCUAGUGUAGCGGUGAAAUGCGUAGAGAUUAGGAAGAACACCAGUGGCGAAGGCGGUUCUCUGGACUGUAACUGACGCUGAGGCACGAAAGCGUGGGUAGCAAACAGGAUUAGAUACCCUGGUAGUCCACGCUGUAAACGAUGAGUACUAGGUGUAGGAGGUAUCGACCCCUUCUGUGCCGCAGUAAACACAUUAAGUACUCCGCCUGGGAAGUACGAUCGCAAGAUUAAA
rnacentral:rRNA from 1 species